GACGAACGCUGGCGGCGUGCUUAACACAUGCAAGUCGAACGGGAUUUAGUAGACAGAAGCCUCGGCUAAAGAUUACUAAUGAGAGUGGCGAACGGGUGAGUAACGCGUGAGCAACCUGCCUAUGACAGUGGGAUAGCCUCGGGAAACCGGGAUUAAUACCGCAUAAAAUCGUAGAAACACAUGUUUUAACGGUCAAAGAUUUAUCGGUCAUAGAUGGGCUCGCGUCUGAUUAGCUAGUUGGUGAGAUAACAGCCCACCAAGGCGACGAUCAGUAGCCGGUCUGAGAGGAGGAACGGCCACAUUGGAACUGAGACACGGUCCAAACUCCUACGGGAGGCAGCAGUGGGGAAUAUUGCACAAUGGGGGAAACCCUGAUGCAGCGACGCCGCGUGAACGAAGAAGGUAUUCGUAUCGUAAAGUUCUGUCCUAUGGGAAGAUAAUGACAGUACCAUAGAAGAAAGCUCCGGCUAAAUACGUG
rnacentral:rRNA from 1 species